rfam:Triticum aestivum genome assembly, contig: Triticum_aestivum_CS42_TGACv1_scaffold_094393_2AL
CUGAUACUCCCUCCGUCCCAAAAUUCUUGUCUUAGAUUUGUCUAAAUACGGAUGUAUCAAGUCACGUUUUAGUAUUAGGUACAUCCGUAUCUAGACAAAUCUAAGACAAGAAUUUUGGGACGGAGGGAGUAGUAA